rnacentral:rRNA from 1 species
AGCAGUGGGGAAUAUUGGACAAUGGGCGAAAGCCUGAUCCAGCCAUGCCGCGUGUGUGAAGAAGGUCUUCGGAUUGUAAAGCACUUUAAGUUGGGAGGAAGGGCAUUAACCUAAUACGUUAGUGUUUUGACGUUACCGACAGAAUAAGCACCGGCUAACUCUGUGCCAGCAGCCGCGGUAAUACAGAGGGUGCAAGCGUUAAUCGGAAUUACUGGGCGUAAAGCGCGCGUAGGUGGUUUGUUAAGUUGGAUGUGAAAUCCCCGGGCUCAACCUGGGAACUGCAUUCAAAACUGACUGACUAGAGUAUGGUAGAGGGUGGUGGAAUUUCCUGUGUAGCGGUGGAAUGCGUAGAUAUAGGAAGGAACACCAGUGGCGAAGCGACCACCUGGGACUGAUACUGACACUGAG